rnacentral:rRNA from 1 species
AUACGGAGGGUGCAAGCGUUGUCCGGAUUUAUAGGGUUUAAAGGGUGCGUAGGCGGCCCGUUAAGUCAGUGGUGAAAGGUAUCAGCUUAACUGAUGAAGUGCCAUUGAAACUGAAGGGCUUGAGUACAGACGAGGUAGGCGGAAUUUAUGGUGUAGCGGUGAAAUGCAUAGAUACCAUAAAGAACACCGAUAGCGAAGGCAGCUUACUAGACUGAGACUGACGCUGAGGCACGAAAGCGUGGGGAGCAAACAGGAUUAGAAACCCCGGUAGUCC